rnacentral:tRNA from 1 species
GCAGAUGUAUAUUAACGGUAAAUAGUCUGUCUUCCAAACAGAAAAUAUGGGUUCGAUUCCCAUCAUCUGCA